AGACGUCUACAGUUUUAGGUGCAGAGUGCUGGUGGAUAUUCUUACUUGAUAGGAAGCUGUCGCCAAGGCUUCCUCUUAGUGUCCAGUCAUCCGAUCUGGGACCAUAGCUGUCCUUCGAUGUCGCUUGACGCUCUUUCGUUGGUGGCCGUAGUUUAGCAUGUUAUUGGGUCACCGAGCGGAGGAUUUGCUUAUCGGGUACAGGAGUCUGCGACGGCUACUCACUCUUAGUACUUUCACUGUGGAAAGCCAUAGCUGUUUUUAUCAUGAUUUAGAAACACGUGAUAUGGUCUAUUACGAUUUCGAGGAUGCAGAAUUAGAAGGAGUUAUAAAGUCUAAAUAAGUGUACAAAGAACCCGCUGAUUGAACUGUACUCUUGACCCAGCACAUUUCCCGGGUGUCGACGGACCAGCAAAUCUACUUUUCAGAAAAGGGCCUUUAUAUCUACUGUCGAACAACUUUCCUUUCCGCCGAACUUCCAGCAAGAACCCGCUCCAACCUCAUAGCACUGUGGACACGACGAGCUGCUGAAAUCCGCGAAAAUAAAUUGUGGCGGAGGUAUCAAAGGAAUCCCACCGGUUGGGCGCCACUGUAACUAGAUUUUCCGGUCCGAGCACCCUUACUGGAUGUGAUGGU